rnacentral:rRNA from 1 species
AUUGAACGCUGGCGGCAGGCCUAACACAUGCAAGUCGAACGAGCGUCGGACGGGUGUGUAAUAUAUGUGGAUCUGCCCGAUAGGGGGGGGUACCUCCUGGGAACGCUAGCUAAUACCGCAUACUACCGGAGUACCCCCUAUGGGAUUAGCGAGUAGUGGUGGUAUUGGCUCACCUAGGCGACGAUCCCUAGCUGGUCUGAGAGGAUGACCAGCCACACUGGAACUGAUACACGGGCCAGACUCCUACGGGAGGCAGCAGUGGGGAAUAUGGCACAAUGGGCGCAAGCGUGAGGCAGCAAUGCAGCGUGUAUGAAGAAGGACUUCGGGGUGUAAAGUACUUUCAGCGGGGAGGCGUUACCCGCAGAAGAAGCACCGGCUAACUCCGUGCCAGCAGCCGCGGUAAUAC